rnacentral:rRNA from 1 species
GUAGGGAAUAUUGGACAAUGGGGGGAACCCUGAUCCAGCCAUGCCGCGUGGAGGAAGACUGCCCUCUGGGUUGUAAACUCCUUUUAUAUGGGAAGAACCGUCCUCAUUAAUGAGUGACCUGACGGUACCAUAGGAAUAAGAACCGGCUAACUCCGUGCCAGCAGCCGCGGUAAUAAGGAGGGUGCAAGCGUUAUCCGGAUUCACUGGGGUUAAAGGGUGCGUAGGCGGAUAAAUAAGUCAGUGGUGAAAUCAACGGACUCAACCUGUUAACUGCCAUUGAUACUGUGUAUCUUGAAUAUGAGAGAGGUAGGCGGAAUGUUGCAUGUAGCGGUGAAAUGCUUAGAUAUGCUACUAAACACCGAUUGCGAAGGCAGCUUACUAUUUCGUAAUUGACGCUGAGGCACGAAAGCGUGGGUAGCGAACAGGAUUAGAAACCCUGGUAGUCC